CCCACCAGUAGGAAGUAGCCAGGGAAACAAGACACUAAUCCUCUUGUAUUAACUGGUGGUGAGGCUGCAGUGGCAUGUUUCCCCGACAACCCAGUGACAGGAUCACCCAUCGCUUUGAGGGCCCUGGCCUAGGUCCUCCAACCCCUGGCCCUGUAGUCAGGGCUGGGUAAAUGGAAGCUUUUGACAAGGUUCCUCACCAAAGGUUUUACGGAAACUAAGCAGUAGUAGGAUAAGAGGGAAGUUCCUCCCAUGCACCUGUAUAUGAUUAAAAGACAGAAAACAAAGAAUGGGAAUAAAUGGGCAUUUGACACUGACCAUAAAUCACCAUUUGCUGUGGGACUUGCAACUUGCUGGCUCCCUGAAAAGAGCAAUUAACUGAAAAUCUAAAACAUGAAAACAUUCCAUUCACCUAAAGGUUGGAAAAUAUUGAUGCUAAACCA